rnacentral:rRNA from 1 species
AUACGGAGGGUGCAAGCGUUAAUCGGAAUUACUGGGCGUAAAGCGUGCGUAGGCGGUUUAUUAAGUCAGAUGUGAAAGCCCCGGGCUUAACCUGGGAACUGCAUUUGAAACUAGUAGACUAGAGUAUGGUAGAGGGGGGUAGAAUUCCUAGUGUAGCGGUGAAAUGCGUAGAUAUUAGGAGGAAUACCAGUGGCGAAGGCGGCCCCCUGGACCAAUACUGACGCUGAGGUACGAAAGCGUGGGGAGCGAACAGGAUUAGAAACCCCAGUAGUCC